UUGAGUUUCCUAUCUAUGCGGU
rnacentral:siRNA from 1 species